UGUUGCAUUUGACUUUUCUGUUUUUGUCAGACUGGGAGUUUUUCGAGAGCUUUUCAUGUCAAAUGCAGUUCAAGUGGGCUGCUACAAUCAUCAUGAGAGUAUUGGCAUUUCUUGAUUCAGUAUACAAUAUAUGCUUUCACAAGCUCCCAGAAGCAUAAAAACUACGUUGUUCGUCGUUUGUAACCUUUAAAAGUUUGCGUGAGUGACACUUUUGUUCUUCGUUUCAUGUCAGAUGAUACAAUGUGACCUGCAAUUGUUGAAGGUUGCGCAAUUUUGGACAGCUAGUAAUCUCCAUGGAAAUGGUUCUACAGUUCUUGAGAAAUUCGAGAGUGAAUGAUGUCUUCCCUCCCGCUCCAUGUAGGGAGAAAUUUCAUGGUUAUGACGAGGUCAACCUGCCGUUCUCUUCACCACGAUUUCAAGUUGUUUGGUUGGGGGGUUUUUCGACCUCUCAUUCAUGUAGUAUGGUUUCCUCUUCCUUUGCAUAUCGCCACUUCAGCCAGAAUAAGCGACGGCUCUUGUCUUUUUGAGGAAUUCGUUGCAGGUUGGAUGUUAUGCGGUGGCCGGAGAUGUAAGGCAGCUUUCUGAUAAUAACGGUUACACUCGACGAAAACAAGAAAUCUGCAAGGACCAGGUCGCGAGGAAUAGCAGAUGACUGAACGUUUUUCUCCUUCAAUUGAGUUUUGGAUCGGGGUUCUCCAGGUAGUUUUCGCCAGUCAAGAUGCAGCUUAUUACGUGGAGAAGAACGUCUUUGAUAUUCCAUAUAGCACGGUCGGGCGUCGCUUUGAGUCGAAUGGUUUCUUGAAAUCUGGCUUACUUGAAACAUCUAGUUUUGUUAAUUAGUCAGAGGAUUUGAGUUAGACAUAACACCUAUACAAGUGACUUGGAUUUGAACUCAUUUCUGAGAGCCAGAGUUUUAGCAGCAGAAAGUGAGCAUUUACCAUUGUGACGAAUUAUUACCGAAAGUAUUCAGAAUUUUACAAUCAGGCCGAGUUCAGCAUUAAGUCCAUUGUAUGCUUCAGUACCACGUAGAUUUUUAGAGUUUUAGGCAUUUAUAAUGAGAUGUCGGAUUGGGGCCGGAGGCGAAGAAGCUGCACAAUCUGCUCAGUCUGGACCAGCACAGGAAGUACAAGGAGCAAGAACUAGGACUGGUAGACCGACUUUACCAGCUGCAGUUGGGCAGGUCAAGAGCAGCGCGACAGGAGCUACGGAGGAUGAAACGGAGGUCUCAGAGGCUUCAAGAUAUCUCUUGAAGCAAUGAGUCAGAUCCUCACAGAAAAAGUUGAAGAGAUGGAAAGAAAGCUUGCAGAGGUAACCAGAAGAGCACCGCUGAACGCAAAAUCAAGGGGAAGUCGGGAAUUGGUUUGAAAGAUCGUGACAAAGAUGGUGAUACGCUCAACAAAAAGCACCAACAAAUGCUAGUGUAACCAAACUGGAUACAGCUCGAAGCAUACGCAUGGAAGAACUAAACAAUCAGGUUAAAAUUAUCUGUUAACAGGUGCGUUUCAGCAUUUCUACCAUAUCGCACUCAAAGUUUCUUUCUCACUCCACUUAACGGUUUAAUCUAUUUGCUGGUAUGAAUAGAGAUGAAGUGCAAACAUUUCCAAUUGUGACGGAGGUUCUGGAAAAGUGAUAGCUCCAUGAAGACUUGUAAUGAGCAAUUGAUGUGAGGAUAUGUUGGUAUAUUUUGCAGAUAUCUCAGCACAGAUGGGCUUGGCCUUUUAUGAAACCUGUGGAUGUUAGAGGUCUAGGUUUGCAUGAUUACAACGAUGUACGUGAUAUUAAUUCUUACGAUUCUCCGUGUUCUCACCUACGUCUCCCUGUUGAAAUGGUUUGUCUCUUUCCUGAAUAGUGUAAUUAGCGAUACCUUGGCAGUCAAGUCCUAUCAUUAGGCAUAUUCUUUGAACCAGAAUGAAACAGUCACCAAUCGCCUAACUGUCACAGAAAAAUUGUCGGAACAAUAUUUACUUCAGGUGAGUUACGAUUGCAUUGAAGCUUGGGUGUAUCACUGUAUACGAAUUUUCCAUACAUACAUCAACGUUUCAUUGCAAACAUUUAACUGCGGUCAAAGCUGCAUAGCUGACUAUCUUAUGCAUCAGCAGGGCAAUGUGGCAGUGACAUACCAUCCUAGAUAAUCUGGUUUUUAGUGCUGACUCCUUUGAAGUUUUUAUGUCUGGAAGAUGAUAUCGAGUUAAAAAUACUUCAAUCUACUGACAGUCAAACGUGAUGCAAAUCUAGUACUUCGCGUCCCUUAUCGCCUCACAAAACUGUCAUUUCGUGAUUUCUGGUUUCUUAUGUCUUGCAGUAGGUCUAUGUCGAUCGAGGAGAAAAGGCAUUUGGGACAGAGCCUAGGGAAGUUGCCACCCGACAAUCUGAGUCGCGUCAUCCAAAUUGUUUCUCAGAGAAACCCCUCGUUUAAUAUUCACUCUGACGAAAUUGAAGUUGACAUUGACGCCCAGGACCCAGCAACACUCUGGAGGCUGCAGCAUUACGUCCAGGCAGUUCUAAGAGGCUUCGGAGCAUGGCAGGCCACGCCAAGGUACCAGCCCAGCAAGCGUAGUGGAGGGUCUGUACAGAACUAAACCUCCAGCAAGCGUGGCAAGAAGGCCACCACGCAUUAACAUGGACAUUUGCCUCAUUCCAAGCAUGCCAGCGCAAUCCCAGCCUUCUUUCACUGGUGAUACGUUUUUGGGUCUCCUCACUUGCAACAUCAGAAAAUUUUCUGAGAGUGCAUCGAAUUCUCUGGAUUUACUUCCCUCUCAGCAGCGGGGACAGCGCAUGUGUAUAUACAUGUGUGUUGCUGGAGUUAGCGGAUAGGCAGAUCCGACACUGGGUUCACUCCCGAAGUGAAAAACUCGACGAGUUUGUAUCAACGCUGACCAAUGGUUAAAGGCUUGUGUAUUCUCAACGUUGUUCUUCACAAAAAUGGAAGGGGAGGGAAGCAGAGAGAAUGACGUUGGAGAUGCGGAAAAUUGAGUCUCGCCAAGAUAACAAUUGUGAAAGAGUUGUCGAAUUCAGCAUUAUUGAUGUGGUUGUGACCAAAUAUUACAGUUGACACUGUUAAAAAAUUUGCAUAAAAUUUGCAUAAUAAUUUAAUUAAAAAUUGUAAUUUUAACAAGAUUUAUUUGUACCAAUCAAUUCAUUAUUAAAUCAUUACAUAGAUAUAUUACUAAAGGAUGUAAAAAUAAAUAAAAGCAUCGCUUAUUCAUACGUAUAUACACUGAACCACUGAACCACACUGAACCACUGAACCACAAAAGUGAGUAAUAAUUUCAUAAAGUAAAAUUACUCUCAUUAACCAAAAAUAAUUUUUAAUUUUUAUGAAAUUUUCCAUGACAAAGAAAUGCAAAUGACGGUAUAUUGAGAAGAAUAUUAAGAUGUUCUGAAAAACUUCAAUCUCUCAUUAAUAUUAUUAUUAUUUUAAA